GCCAGCCCUGUUCUACAAACAAGGAAACCAAGCAGUGGUGGUCUGCUGGCACCCAGAACAUCCUUUCUUCCCUCAUUGAGAGACUCUGGAGAGGCCUCAGAGGUGACGCAGAGAGGAGGCGCCUCGUGAAAUGUUCAACCAUAGCAAAAGCAUCUGCUCUCAGACGGUGAC